rnacentral:rRNA from 1 species
AUUGAACGCUGGCGGCAGGCCUAACACAUGCAAGUCGAACGAGUGGCGGACGGGUGAGUAAUGUCUGGGAAACUGCCCGAUGGAGGGGGAUAACUACUGGAAACGGUAGCUAAUACCGCAUACCAUCGAAUGUGCCCAGAUGGGAUUAGCUAGUGGGUGGGGUAAAGGCUCACCAAGGCGACGAUCCCUAGCUGGUCUGAGAGGAUGACCAGCCACACUGGAACUGAGACACGGUCCAGACUCCUACGGGAGGCAGCAGUGGGGAAUAUUGCACAAUGGGCGCAAGCCUGAUGCAGCCAUGCCGCGUGUAUGAAGAAGGCCUUCGGGUUGUAAAGUACUUUCAGCGGGGAGGCGUUACCCGCAGAAGAAGCACCGGCUAACUCCGUGCCAGCCGCCGCGGUAAUAC